rnacentral:lncRNA from 1 species
CUUUUUUUGUUCUGAUUCAGUUCAUCCUUCACAUUCAGUUUUCCAAAAAAUAUAUUGAAAUUUCUCAUAUCCUCAAAUCUUUUCUCCUGUUCUUUUUGUUCUAAGUUUAUAUCUUCUUGAAUUAUUCUGACUUUAACAGGGUUAGGAAAUGGUGAGAUAAUUAUGUGUGUGGUUGAGCCACAGUUUUUUUUAACCUUAUGCAAACAAAUCUUCCUGUUCUAAAACAGGCAUUGACUGAGCGCCUAGAUGGUAUUCUUCUGGAGAAAGCAGAGACUGAGCAGCAGUGUCUUUCUCUGAAAAAGGAAAAUGUUAAAAUGAAACAGGAAGUUGAAGAUUCUGUAACUAAAAUGGAAGAUGUGCACAAGGAGUUUGAACAGUCACACAGAAACUAUGUGAAAGAAAUUGAAAGUUUGAAAAAUGAAUUGAUGACAGUACAUUCCAAACACAGUGAAUAUAAGGCUGGCUUACAAAAGGAGCUAGAAGAAGCAGUAAAUAAACAGGCAGAGCUUUCAGAACAACUUAAAUUUCAGAGUAGCUCUGAAGACAAUGUUAAAAAACUGCAAGAAGAGAUUCAAGAAAUGAGGUCAGCCUUUGAGGAACAAGUUUUAUAUCUGCAAAAGCAGUUAGAAGUCACUACUGAUGAAAAGAAGCAAGCGGUUACUCACCUCCAAGAAGUCAUGGAAGCAAAUUCUCAGCAUUACCAAAAAGAUAUUAAUCAUUUGCAAGAAGAACUUUUGCAGUUGAAAGCUGCACACCAACAAGAAGUGAAAGAACUGACACACCAGUUUGAAUCAUCAGCUAAAGAACAUGAAGCAGAAAUAAAUAAGUUAAACCAGCUGAAAGAGUACUUAGCAAAACAGUAUGAGGCCAGUGAGAAGACCAUUCGUGAGAAAUACGAAUGUGAAUUGGAAAACCUAAGGAAAGCCACCUUGGAUGCAAACACAGACCAUCAGGUGGGUCCUGCCCUCCUACAGGAAGAUACUUUUGUAGAACAGGUAGUAAAUGAAAAAACCAA